rnacentral:misc_RNA from 1 species
GGGAAAUGCUACAGCGACAGAUUCAAAUUUUAGAAUAUCUGAUUUCCCAGUUGCUGCAUUUGGUUCUCGUGCUCAUCUUGAGGAGAAACCUUUGGAAACAAGAAAAUGGUAUCGCUAUUUUCUAAAGAAGAGCUUUGAUCCUGUUGUUUUCUUAGUUGCUGGUCCUGAAAUUCGUGAUACACAGUGCGGCUUUAAGAUGUUCACCAGGGCUGCAGCAAGGAA